rnacentral:rRNA from 1 species
CCUACGGGGGGCUGCAGUGGGGAAUUUUGGACAAUGGACGCAAGUCUGAUCCAGCCAUGCCGCGUGCGGGAAGAAGGCCUUCGGGUUGUAAACCGCUUUUGUCAGGGAAGAAACGACGCCUACUAAUACUGGGUGUUAAUGACGGUACCUGAAGAAUAAGCACCGGCUAACUACGUGCCAGCAGCCGCGGUAAUACGUAGGGUGCAAGCGUUAAUCGGAAUUACUGGGCGUGAUGCGUGAGCACGCGGGUGAAAUCCCCGGGCUCAACCUGGGAACUGCAUUUGUGACUGCAUGGCUAGAGUACGGUAGAGGGGGAUGGAAUUCCGCGUGUAGCAGUGAAAUGCGUAGAUAUGCGGAGGAACACCGAUGGCGAAGGCAAUCCCCUGGACCUGUACUGACGCUCAUGCACGAAAGCGUGGGGAGCAAACAGGAUUAGAUACCCCAGUAGUC